UACGUAGGGUGCGAGCGUUGUCCGGAAUUAUUGGGCGUAAAGAGCUCGUAGGUGGUCUGUCGCGUCGGCUGUGAAAACUCGGGGCUCAACCCCGAGCCUGCAGUCGAUACGGGCAGACUGGAGUUCGGCAGGGGAGACUGGAAUUCCUGGUGUAGCGGUGAAAUGCGCAGAUAUCAGGAGGAACACCGGUGGCGAAGGCGGGUCUCUGGGCCGAUACUGACACUCAGAGACGAAAGCUAGGGGAGCGAAUGGG
rnacentral:rRNA from 1 species